rnacentral:tRNA from 1 species
GGGGUUGUGGCUCAGCGGUAGAGUGUUCGCCUAGCAUGUGCAAAGUCCUGGGUUCAAUCCUCAGCACCACA